UGUGGAGCGGUGGCGGCGGCGGUAAGGGGUCGGCAGGGCGGAUGAGCGCGGCGCUGUGCGAGUAGAGCUGAGGGGCACCUGGGCUUGUUGGUUCGCUCUUGGACGUCCGGGGGGCACCGCGUCGCGAUGCCGCGUGUUUGUUUGAAGCUGGAGCAAGCGGUAUGAAGGAGAAGCUUUCAGUGGUGUCCAAUAUGUUGUACAGAAGCAUUAAGGAUGGCGUAUCAACAGUUUUUAAUAAUGGAAAAAAGUUGAGCAUUGUGAUGAAAGAUGUCCUGGCAACUGUACUACAACAGAUAGAGGGAUGCUUGAAGGCUGCUUCUUUGAAGCAGGAAAAUGGUCACAACUGUACAAACAAAUGCUUUAAUUUGUUCAGUGAGUUGGAACGUUUUUGUCAGUGCUGCUUGACAAAUGUGGAUGAUCUGUAACUGGAAGAAAGUGUAACACCUGAAGAGAUGUUCUCGCUUGGAGUGGGACCAUGCUUUUAAAAUCCUGCUGAAACAGUUGUUGAAAUUGUUUAGCAGAUACCGUUAUCAAAAACUGCACGUGAACCAAAAUUACUGUCUCUGCAUACUUAAAAUAAUGCUUCUCUCAAAACAUCAAACUGCCCCCUUUGGGAAGGAUAACAGUGGCAGUAGGGAAAUGAGUGGUGAGCUUCAAUAUAUGAAAAAGAAACAGACUAUUGGCCCUUAGAAAAUGUAAGGGUAUGCAGACUUUGAUACUGAGCAUCUGUAAUAACUCAAAACAAUGGAAGUUGCAGGUAGGCCAUGCAGCAUUGAUACAUAAAUUCAAACUACUGAGUGCUCCUUGAUGAUGUCAUGUGGGAGAUUGAAGGAGGUAGAUGAGGUGGUGUGGAAGCAUCAACAUGAAGCACCUGUAAAAAGAAACGCUUGAAAUUUCAGGUGGCGUGAGGAAGUUGUGGUUACAGAAAAAGCAUAGACUAAAGCUUUCAUUUUCUUCUGCAUCUAGAUGGGGAGAGAAGGAAAAGGGAGUUUUCAUGAGCUGCCAAUUUAGCAUGGAAAGACCAGUAUCGGAACUGGAACUGUGCCCACUGAAGAAGACAUUGGCAGUGUUAUCUGUUCCCAGUGUGGGAGGAAAAGGAAUAGAAACAUUGGAAGUUUUGCUUGCCAGCAGUCACUAACCACACAGUAACAUCUUAACAUUGUAUUUGUUGUAUUAAGCAGAUCAUCUCUCUUCCACUGAGGAAGAGAGGGAUUGUAAAUUGGUUUUCUGAGUAAGUUGCCUUUAAAGACAAAUUAUGCACGGAAGAUGCAAUCCACCUUAAGGUGUGGCUCUUGUACUGCCUUCUCAGGAAUGCUUUAUAAAGGAGGGAAUGUGACAACUGCGUGGUAGCCAAUGAUCAGUAGUGCUGUGGUUACUGAAUGAUUUUGGAAUGUACCGAAAUAAGGAAACAGCCCUGUAGUCUGCAGCCAAAAAUGACAGCAUUGGAUGCUAGCAGUUAACUUUCUCUAGGGAUCUGAAAGAACUUAAUGAAAUGCACUUAUUUCUAAACACCAAAUACUUGAAAGGCCCAUUUUCCUACCAGUGCAGCACCGCAGAAGUGCAGAACACUAAGUAGCAGCAUCUGAAGCAUUGGGAAGAUCAGAAAUAAAGUGCCUGACUACAAAGCCAUACAGUAAUGAUGUGACUGAACUCCAGGAGUGACUUGGCUUACUGCAUAACCUCUGCUUUGGUUUUUCAGUAAUAACCAGCUGCUUUGGCUGGUCAGAGGCUGCUUCUCAGUGAGUUAACUAUGUAAAUCAGUCUAUUGAAUGUAUCAUCAGAAGCUGCAGAAUUUUACUACAGAAAACCUUCCCUUGGUGGCUUUAAUCAGGAUUUAUUACAUGUUAAUGUUGCUGAGAAGGGUAGGUAUUUGCUAUGUUUUGUACAUGCUCUUUCUUGAAUAAAGACGAGGAUGUGGAAAACUUAACUAGUUGUUCAACGUCAGUUCUGUAGUCACUUAAGGUGCUUCUUGACAGCUCUUAUUUUGCAAGGGCUGCAAAGGCACUGUGGCCUUACUGUACUGGUACAGGGCAUGCUGAACACGUGACAUUCCACACACUGCUUGACUGGCUCCUGGACAAUGUAAGCUCCACUGUUAGUUACAUAUUUCAGAAGCGCGGAGAGAUCAGUCUCCCAUCUUAGGUCCGCUACAUUUUCAGCCCUUCUCAGUGGUGUGCACACCACUAAACAAGGGGUAACAGAAAGUAAUUGGAACACACGAAGUUCUGUAUGAAAUCAGGAGGAACUUUACUGUGAAAGUGAUAGAGCACUGGAACAGGCUGUCCGGAGAGAUUGUGGUGUCUCCUCUGGAGUUUACCAAGAUCUGCCUGUGCAACUUACUGUAGGGAACCUGCUUAAGUAGGGGUGGAUCGGUCUUCAUUUCCCAGAGGUCCCUUUCAACCCCUACAAUUAUCUGGCUUUUAUUGAGUUGACGUUGACAAUGUUUAGUGAAGCUGUUGAAGUGGUGAGUCAAAAGUUGACAGUCUUGGGACACUCAGCGUGUCUUCUGACGGGGAAGAAGUAUGUUGAAAACCUGAAAAGGAUAAUAGGGCAGCAAUAUUUUGUAAGUAGUAUAUUAGCUAUUCUGAAAGGAUUUUUAUGUGGCUUGUAUAACAGUACAUGGCAAGAUUUUAUUUGCAGUAAGUUUUGACUGUAACAGAGUCUUUGGCUGAAGCUGAAACAGCAUCUGUAGCUUUUGAGGAGUUCCUAACAUGUGGGCAUCUAGUAAAACUGGUGAGGAUGAGUUGCUCUUCUAAUUUCUGACAUUAAAAGGAUGGUUUCAUGAUUAUGGAUGGUACUUGAAUACCCAAAGAACUUCAAUCUAAAUCUGAAAUACUGGGGAUGUUCUAAUCUAGGAUUGGCAGUAAUAGAUAAAAAGGGCCAAAGAACUGUAUUACGUUUGUGCUUGGGGUGGUGGAAGCCUGUUUCCAGAAGCUAUUCCAUCAGGAAAAGAUGUGUCCAGAAAAAAGAUGUGGCCAGUGAUGAGCCUGGUAACUGCAAAUCUUUUGAUAUAAACACUCACUGGAAUGCAGAAUAUGGAUAAGCAAAGAAAAAUGUGCUUUAGAAAGUCUGGAACAAGUUUUUUUAACCAUGAGACUACCUUACAAUCUUCAUAAUGAGAGUGAUGGUUAUGAUGUUGGACGCUAGCAUCACAAAUUUUAAAAUGAGAGGUAUAAUAUUAGUGAGCUUGCUCACAGUGGUAGGGGAUAAUGUUGCAAUCCACUUGUAGAUUUAGUUCUUGUAUGGGUUUUUUUUGCGUGAUACUUCUAUAUGAUUAUGAAGUUGGCAUGUAAUGACUUUGGAAGGUAUGUUAAAGUUCGGUUGUACAAAACACCUUGCUAGAUUUAAAGCUUUGAUUUCAGAUGUUGCAGUAAAUAGCGUGAAAGCCCUUUUGCCAUUUGUAUUAUAAAUAGUUGUUAAAAUCUUGUGCUGUCAUUAGUGUUUGAUUUAUCACAUGGGUGUUGGGCUGUGAUUCCCAAAAUCAGUGGUUAGACAAACUGUCGUGGGGUAUUGCUGUGUCAGUCUUAGUAACUGGGCAAAAGAUCAGCAUUCUCCUGAGUUAAAGGAGCGUUGUGUUUAAUGAGCGUCUCGGAGCUUCAGGAAAGUUAGAAGAGUGGCUGUGCAUAAAUGCUUUGCUACCAUUUAAGUGGGAAGUCUUAAAGCAGGACGUUGGAGAGUUUGUCUUGUUUGUGGUGACAGUAUAUCAUAAAUAGUUCCAAGUGAGCUGCAGUUACUUUUCCAAAGUACCCACCCUGCAGUGUGGGUUAAAAACGCAAGCAAACAAAGUGUGUAUCCUGUCAAGCUAACCAGUCUACAGAGAAGUGUGCUGCCUGCUUUGGUGGCAUUGCUGCCUUCUCUUUCAGGCAAACUCUUAAUGGUACAAAUAUGCCACAUAAACGUUGGUUAUGAGUUGUACUGACAAGGAUGGACGUUGCAAUUGAAUUAACAGCUGGUAAGUUACAAGUUCCAAAGGUGGAAGCUCAACAAUGAGUUUUUGAGGAGAGAGACUCAUUCACUUAAGACAGUUGACCUGUCACAGCACACUGAGCAAUGUUAGACUUUGUCCAAGGAAAGGCUUUUUUUUGAUGUUAAAUAAACACUGAGUUUGGGAUACCAUUUUUUCCCACAGUUUCCACCCCUUCCCACAGUUGAGAGGACAAUUUGAGUUGUAAUGAAUUAAUUCAGCAGGUGAAUAUUACAGAUGAGCGGAGUACACAUGGAAGUCUAUAUAUGCUGUGUGUUUGUAUGUGGCCAGUGACUUGUAUUCUGUGUACUUCUCAUUAGAACCAGUAUUAGAAGUAUUCUUGCUUGUCUGUCAUUAAUUAUCUGCUUUGCUUAGAGAAUGUAAGCUGGAAAAUUAAAAUAAUUCCGUUUUCUUUCAAACACAAUGUGGCUUUUCAGCAGAUAGUCAAGUUAGGCUAUCAGGGCUGUGAAAACAGUACUGCUCAGCCACUGUAUAAAACUUCCUGUAGGCUCUGCAAGACAAAGUAGUAUCUUAUGCUCAAAAGAAUGACUGUAUAGAGUAAGAGAAAAUCUGCCUUGCUCAGUAUUCUAUCUGAGAGUGAUCAGUAUAAGAAACAGGAGGAUAGAGAUCUUUCCCAGUGGUUUGCUUGGGAAUUUCCUAAGGAGUUACUCAUUCUAUGUGAGCAUUACUUGGCAAUUAUGACCUAUCUGUUUAAAAAGAUGUGAAAUGUGAAUACCACAUCAAUUGUAAAAUGCAUGAAGUAGUGCAUAUGAUUGCAACAGUAGGGAAAUGGAUGACGGGAGCUAGGGGAGGACUAAAGUAACAGCUUAUUU
ensembl:lncRNA